AGAGUUUGAUCAUGGCUCAGAACGUACGCUGGCGGCACGCCUAACACAUGCAAGUCGAACGAAGUAGCAAUACUUAGUGGCAGACGGGUGAGUAACAUGUGGGUAUCUGCCCUUUGGCCUGGAAUAACACGAGGAAACUUGUGCUAAUACCGGAUAAGUCUUUACGGAGAAAGCUUUAUGCACCAUUGGAUGAGCCUGCACUUGAUUAGUUUGUUGGUGGGGUAAUGGCCUACCAAGACUGUGAUCAAUAGCUGAUUUGAGAGGAUGAUCAGCCACAUUGGGACUGAGACACGGCCCAAACUCCUACGGGAGGCAGCAGUGGGGAAUCUUGCACAAUGGAGGAAACUCUGAUGCAGCGAUGCCGCGUGAGUGAAGAAGGCCCUUGGGUUGUAAAGCUCUUUCGUCGGGGAAGAAAAUGACUGACCCGAAUAAGAAGUCCGGUA
rnacentral:rRNA from 1 species